AUUGAACGCUGGCGGCAUGCCUUACACAUGCAAGUCGAACGGUAACAGGUCUCCGGAUGCUGACGAGUGGCGAACGGGUGAGUAAUACAUCGGAACGUGCCCGAGAGUGGGGGAUAACGAAGCGAAAGCUUUGCUAAUACCGCAUACGAUCUCAGGAUGAAAGCAGGGGACCGCAAGGCCUUGCGCUCACGGAGCGGCCGAUGGUAGAUUAGGUAGUUGGUGGGAUAAAAGCUUACCAAGCCGCCGAUCUGUAGCUGGUCUGAGAGGACGACCAGCCACACUGGGACUGAGACACGGCACAGACUCCUACGGGAGGAAGCAGUGGGGAAUUUUGGACAAUGGGCGCGAGCCUGAUCCAGCCAUGCCGCGUGCAGGAUGAAGGCCUACGGGUUGUAAACUGCUUUUGUACGGAACGAAAAGACUCUGGUUAAUACCUGGGGUCCAUGACGGUACCGUAAGAAUAAGCACCGGCUAACUACGUGCCAGCAGCCGCCGUAACAC
rnacentral:rRNA from 1 species